GGGGAAUAUUGGACAAUGGGGGGAACCCUGAUCCAGCCAUGCCGCGUGUGUGAAGAAGGCCUUAUGGUUGUAAAGCACUUUAAGCGAGGAGGAGGCUCUUUUGGUUAAUACCCAAGAUGAGUGGACGUUACUCGCAGAAUAAGCACCGGCUAACUCUGUGCCAGCAGCCGCGGUAAUACAGAGGGUGCGAGCGUUAAUCGGAUUUACUGGGCGUAAAGCGUGCGUAGGCGGCUUUUUAAGUCGGAUGUGAAAUCCCCGA
rnacentral:rRNA from 1 species